rnacentral:rRNA from 1 species
AGUGAACGCUGGCGGUAGGCCUAACACAUGCAAGUCGAACGGCAGCACAGAGGAGCUUGCUCCUUGGGUGGCGAGUGGCGGACGGGUGAGGAAUACAUCGGAAUCUACUCUGUCGUGGGGGAUAACGUAGGGAAACUUACGCUAAUACCGCAUACGACCUACGGGUGAAAGCAGGGGACCUUCGGGCCUUGCGCGAUUGAAUGAGCCGAUGUCGGAUUAGCUAGUUGGCGGGGUAAAGGCCCACCAAGGCGACGAUCCGUAGCUGGUCUGAGAGGAUGAUCAGACACCCGGGAACUGGGACACGGUCCAGACUCCUACGGGAGGCAGCAGUGGGGAAUAUUGGACAAUGGGCGCAAGCCUGAUCCAGCCAUACCGCGUGGGUGAAGAAGGCCUUCGGGUUGUAAAGCCCUUUUGUUGGGAAAGAAAUCCAGCUGGCUAAUACCCGGUUGGGAUGACGGUACCCAAAGAAUAAGCACCGGCUAACUUCGUGCCAGCCGCCGCUGUAA